rnacentral:rRNA from 1 species
UACGUAGGGGGCGAGCGUUGUCCGGAAUUAUUGGGCCUAAAGCAUCCGUAGCCGGUUUUACAAGUCCUCCGUUAAAUCCAACUGCUUAACAGAUGGGCCGCGGAGGAUACUAUAAGACUAGGAGGCAGGAGAGGCAAGCGGUACUCAGUGGGUAGGGGUAAAAUCCGUUGAUCCAUUGAAGACCACCAGUGGCGAAGGCGGCUUGCCAGAAUGCGCUCGACGGUGAGGGAUGAAAGCUGGGGGAGCAAACCGG